rnacentral:rRNA from 1 species
UACGUAGGGUGCAAGCGUUAAUCGGAAUUACUGGGCGUAAAGCGCACGUAGGCGGUCUUGCAAGUCGGAUGUGAAAUCCCCAGGCUUAACCUGGGAACUGCACCCGAAACUGCUUGACUUGAAUGCUUGAGAGGUUGGUGGAAUUCCAGGUGUAGGAGUGAAAUCCGUAGAUAUCUGGAGGAACAUCGGAGGCGAAGGCGGCCAACUGGCGAUGCAUUGACGCUAAGGUGCGAAAGCGCGGGGAGCAAACAGG